AGAGACAGAGAGAGAGAGAGAGGAGGGGUCGAUCCCGCGGCGCCGGGCUCCUCCGGCGGUUAUCCCGUCCUACCGACCACCGGCGGCCUGCAAGCCGGUGAGUACGUGCAGCGUUCCGAAGAGGCGCGUGCUCGCAGGGGGAGGGGAGGGGGGAGGCGCCGGAUCUCGCUGGACAAGUGCGUCAACAACAUGUGGUAUAUUUCGUUUCUUCCUGACCUGGAUCCGACUACUUUAUUUUUCGAGUUUACCGACGAGUAGAUCUGCUGUGUGUUCAUCUAGUGUCACCAACUGUUGGUGGUCACCUUAAGCGUUACUUCUUUCUUCUUCUGUUCUAGAUCCGACUGAGCUAGAUUUGUUCGGCUAAGUUCACGGUGAUGUGGAUCUGAAAUGCAAACUGUCGGUCAUCCACCCUAGGCUUCCUUCCGUUCUACUCCCAAGUGAAUCACGCGUCUGCUUCAAGAUCCAGUUAAAUCAGGAGUGGAUCUAGUUUCUUCAAGUCAAAAAAUCACGAGUACCAAGUGUUAACUGUUGGUGGUCAGCCGUAGGUUUCCUUAAGCGUUAGUUCUAGAUCCGACUGAGCUAGAUUUGUUCGGCUAAGAUCACGGUGAUGUGGAUCUGACUGAAAAGCAAGCUGUCGGUCAUCCAUCGUGUGUUUCCUUCCGUUCUACUCCAAGUGAAUCAUGCGUCUUCUUCGAGAUCCAGUUAAAUCAUGACGAGUGGAUCUAGUUUCUCCAAGCAAAUCACGAGUGUCAGUCAUUUCUUCCCUGGCCGGCCGGUGUGUGCAUCUUAGUUCUUCAGUGCACAUUGCUGCCUGUACAUGAUAGAUUUACAGUGCUAAUUUGGUCAUACAAGCUACUUGAGCGCAUCCACCAAAAGCUUCCUAUUCUGUGUACGGUCCUAGGUGGAUCUGUAUUAGACACAUCUUGAGGUCAACCACCAAAAGCUUCCUACACAGUAUUUAGCCUAUGAAAACUGUAUGCUAUAGUCAUACUAGUGUGGGGUGAAAAUCACAGCUGCUUGGGACUUGAAAAGAUGAUGCUUCGAACGAAAUGGAAGGAUACUGUUAUUCACCUGUAUCAUCCACUGGUUUCUUUUGUGCUGGUUAGUGUGUGCAGAUCGUUGGUCAUCCACUUCUUUUUUGCGGGGACACAUUGGGUGUUUGAUAUAAGCUGUUUUGCUUUGCCUAGAUAGAUAACUAGCUCAUAUCUUGCUGAUUUGGUUGCCGCUAACCAUUGCAAAAACUUUCAUUUGAAUAGGUACCUUGUAUGGGAUGAAGUGAAGGCUAUUUUGUUAAUCAAUCAUCAUAUUAUGUGCACAAUAAGCUUUUGUUAUGCUUUCACCGUCGAUGCCCACUGGCUGGAUCAUACUUCUGUUUAUGAGCUCAUUGAAGUAACUCUCUCCUAGCUUAAAUCGGCCAAUUUCUCGUUUGCAUUAUAUAUAAAACCUUCAGCUAUCCAUCUCCAUAUCAGUUCGUCUCUCUUAAUUUUGUAAUCUUUUGGAAAUAUGCUUAAAUAUCCUCAAACAUAAGUACAAGCCACACAUGCUGCACCAAUACUAUGCAAAGUAGCAUAGAGUGAGUAAAAUAGGCUCUUGACUUUUAGAUUAUACAAGAGCGGUUAUCUACAAGUCAACCCUUUUUUUACUAACUACUAGUAGCCUUGAUAUAUCUAUAUGAUUAGUUAUUAUGUCCAAGUAUGUUUUUAGAAGAUUAAGCAAACUCAUUUGAUAUGUAAAUGGAUAGUUUGAGGUUUUAUUUAUAAUGAUAAACAAGGGAUUAGCAAGUUUGAGCUCGGUGAUAGAAUUACUCAAUGAGAUCGCAAAUAGAAGCAUGGUUCAGCCAAUUGACAUCAAUGUUGAUAAAGGCAUGGAAAAAUCUUAUCGUAUACAUGAUAUGGUGAUUGAUUCCAUAUGUUUUUGCCAAGUGAAGAAAAACCAUUUGCACGGCACUCAGUCAAAGGCAAGAUUUGAAGACUAAACAUUCCGAAGAGCAUGACAGGUUUGAAGAUUAAACGGUUUAAGUUCUCCUCCUUUUGGAUUUAAUUAGGAUAUAUGCUUCCAUUCCUGUCAAUUGAGACGGCCUGAUAACACUGCAUUUCCCUUGGUGUUUUGAUUUGUCCUUCUUCUGCAACAUACAUGCGAGUUGUCGUUCCCACUUACUCUGCGGUGCCUGCUCUACUUUGCUCAUGAAGAACUUCUUUUCUUCAUUUCUCUGUUUACUCAAAUGCUUGUGGACUGAAAUUUAAGUCGUUCAGUUUAUAGAACAUUUUGAAAUUUCACCUUUUAUUUGUAGAUGUUGCUAUUGCCUUGCAUCUUCCGCAGUUUUGUUCUCUUCUUUUGUGUGGAUUUGCAGCUAGCAAAAUGGAAAGUUCAUGGUGGGUCAGUUUGGAGGCUUCAUAUUUCAUAAUUGUUAUUGUGUGGUUCACACUAGAAUUUGAUUUUAAUGCGUACUUGUGCAUUUUUUGUUAGGAUUAUCAUGCUUGUUUUUCUAUGUAAUUGCUAUGAUUCAAGGCUACGUAUUUUGUUUAACCCAUUAUUUGCCAUUUGAAAACAAUGGUGGCAUCAACAGUUGGUAAUUGCAAAUGCUUAUCACUGGUUACCGCCUAAUGCUUGCUUGGUUUUCGGUGUGAUUUCAGCUUCGCACCACCCACGUUUUGUGAGACAAUAGUACAUCCAAAAGGAGAAGUUGUUGAGCUGAUAGUCAUGACAGCCUAUAAAAUAGGCGCGGUGAUUGAAGCUCGUGAGUAACACGAGUAACAAGACAACAAAAAACCAUGCUAAAGCUGGAGGGAUUCAUAGAAAAUGUGUAGGAAAAAAAUCCCUGAGAAUGUGAUUUUAACGCAUACUUGUCCGUGAGAAAUGUACCUUCACUACAUUUUUGGGGUUUCUAGAACAUGGACCAUAUGCGUCCAAGUAGAGAACAUAAAUAUCCACUGUUCUUUAUUCUUUCAUCUGUUAGUUUUGAUGUUGUUUUGGAUAAUAGAUAAUCAAGGCAUCGUAGGUGGCAGCAUUGAUUAGAGAUUCAGUCUAAUGUACUUGUUUAUAGCGGUGCUGCCAUGAAGUUUGGUCUAUAAAGUUCUGCUGUGUAAACAUACUGCUGAUCUGCUGAACUAAAAUUAUGGCCCUGUUUACCUGUGGUGGUGCACUGUACAACAAUUUCACCUGUUCUUUCAUAGCUCACCUUAUGUGUGGCAUCUUCUACUAGUAUCGUAUAAAUGUCUAUGUCAGAACACUAGCUGCUGGCACUCCCAUCUUUGACCGAUGGAUGUAAAGGUCUACCUUCUCCGGCACCUCCAACGAGUACGCCGACUUCAACGCCUACUACUGAGAAGACGACUAUGGGAAGGACAUGUGAUCACUAUGAUAUGUCCGGUCAUAUGAUGAACUGGCAUGUGUUAGAUUUAUGUACGUUGCAUGAGGUUGUAUGAAUUUGAAAGUAUUGACACGAGGUAGAUUGCCGCAGACGCAAAGAAAUGAAAAGACGAGUGGGCGCUAGCCGCGAUUGCAUACCCGGUUGAAUCGGAGCUGGAGAUGCUCUUUCUGUGCACCAGUUAUUAAUUAGGGCCAACCUUUUUCAGGUUAUAGGGAGAGCAAUUUUGUUACCCACCCGCCGCAAAGCCAUUGCUAAGUUUCCGGCCGUGACUUUGCAGGCGCGCACUUUGUAACUUCGUGGAGCAAACAAGCCAGCAUUUGAUGUGGCUUGGCCGGAAUGAGGUUCAGUUUUACGUACUACUCACUCCGUUCCUAAACAUAAGUCUUUUUAAAGAUUUCAUUAAGAGACUACAUAUAAAACAAAAUAAAUGAAUAUACAUUCUAAAACAUACAUAUAUAUCCAUAUAUAGUUUUUUAAUAAAAACUCUAAAAGACUUAUAUUUAUAUAGUUUUUUAAUAAAAACUCUAAAAGACUUAUAUUUAAAAAUGAAGGAAGGAGGAAGUAGUAGUUAAGAUAGGCGUCGCCAUCUUAAUUACAGGUCGCAUCCGUUUUCUCCCCUAAUCACCACCACGUGCCAUGUACACGUCGCUUUCGCUUCCGGACGGAGGCACAACUUAGCAGCUGUUCGUGGCUCGGCCACAAGCCCGUCGUGUCGUGUCGUGUCGUGGAAUGAUCAAACGUAGGCAGGUAGGAAAAUAAUGGGGUUGUACAUGCGCAAGCGAAGCACCGAAUCCUCCAACGGCAGCGCGCCAUCUAAUACCCCCGGCGAGCACAGUGAAGAGGAACGUACCUUAUCACCGGCGCGCGCGCAUCAGUUGGUGACCGGCCGGCGUGAAACUGUGAAAGGCUAGCCGUGCAGGCCAUGUGUCCAUUUCCCGAUAGAAAGAAGGAAAAAGAAGGAACGUGGCAGCCAUGUUUAUGGCCCAUGGCUGGACGCGACGGGCGGUGCCAGUGCGCGCGCAACAGGCUGCCUUCGCGCCGAAGCAACGCAACAAAAGGCGAAACGGUCGGCCGGCUGGCCUCGCUGUGUAGAUGCUUCGAGAGAAAUCGCGGGGACGUGUCAACCGCCCAUAGGCCGGCCAGCUGUCACCCCCGCAGAAUAAAUAGGCCUCCCCACCCCUACGCCUUUCCCCAGUGCCUUCCCCAGCAACACCAAAGAUCCGAUCCUCUCCUCUCUUAUUCUACCACUCUCCGCCGCCACAGCCACCACCAAUCGAAGAAGCAAUGGCCGCCUCCGCCAUCGCGUCGAAGGCCGUGGCCGUCCUCGCCGUCCUGUCGGUCGCCGCCUUCUCCCUCGUCGCCGCGCAGGAGGCCCCGGCGCCGAGCCCCAUGUCCGCCGCUGGCGUCGCGGCCCCCUCCCUCGCCGCCGCGCUCGUGGCCUCCGGCGCCGCCUUCCUCUUCGCCGCCUCGCGCCACUGAAGCAGCAGCAGCUGCCUCCGUCCGUCGAUGGCAGUAUAGCAGUAUUGUUUUCACUAGCGAUUUGUUGGUUGUUCGUGUCCUUUUCCCCCAGAUCUGCCUGCUACCGUCUAUUACUCGACUCGAUGAUGAUUGAUUAUCUCUCUCCCUCUAGUAGUAGAGAUUGUACCCGUUUGCCUGUACAUACUUCUCGCCAGUGCUAUUUAUCCACCGGUUCGAUCUGCUGAUAAGUAUGAUAGCUCCAUUUAUUCAGUCGUUGUUCGUGAAUUUUGAUGCUCGUGAGUCAGCGUGAUGGAUCUGUUUCUCUUUCUCGUUUCUCCAUUAUCUGGUGGCAGAAUUGCUUUAUGCAGCCAGCUUCAUAUGCAGAUAUGCUUGUUACUGAUCCUUCACGCUAUCAAUCACAGCAGGGAACACUCUUCGAAUGAAUAUCACGAACUUUGGAGAAUUUUUUUUUUGAGUAAAAACAGCCGCAGCGACUGCUGCACUACACGUGAGUGGUGGACUCGGAGUCAGAGACUCAGAGGUGGUGCUGGUCGUUUGGCCUGCCUCCCGUGAAUUGAUAGGUCAUUUUCUUGGUGCGAUGCUUGGUAAAAACUGCCUGUUUCUCUUAAACAAGUGGCAUGUUAUUACCAAGCUUUCCAUCAGCAGUCAGCACAAGGAAACAAAUAACAUCUUAGCGAUCUACAGUAGUAUUUGAUAGACUGUCCACAGACCUACAGAUGUAAAUCAGUUUCCUUUUUUUCACGACCAUAGGGGUAGUUGUUACUAGAAUUUGCCAUCUGGCCUAUGUUGUACUCCCUCCGUUCCUAAAUAUAAUUCUUUUUAGAGACUACAAAAUGGGCCCGUGCGUUGUCACAGAAGAAAAAAAAACAUAAUCUUCAAUGAUGGUGACCACAUUAUGUUCACAUAUCAUCGCUUAAUUUAGAAAUUUUGUAACAAAAUCAAGAAAAUGUUUUUUCUUUUAAAUUUAUUCAAAAAUUAAAGCAAUCUUUACAUUUUCAAAAAAUAUAUAUCAUGGUUGUCAAAAAUCUUGGUAACUCAAAAAUUUAUUCUGAAUUUCAAGAAUUUUUUUAAAAAACAUACAAUAAUAAUUCGAUACAUCAAAUAGUUAAUUCUUCAAAAUUCACACAGGCAUAUUAUUACAAAGACUUGUAAGCAUUAAUGUUUAACUACAUACAUUAGAUCUUUCGUGAAUAAUUUUAUAAAUAUGGGAAUAAUUUUAAAAUUGAGAACAUUUUUUACAAUUCAAAUUUUUUUAUUAAAAAUCAUGAAUAUUUUUUAUAUUUCGAACGGGUUUAAAUAUUUUCUUUUGAAUUGGCGACCAAUUCAAGAAAAGACGAAUAAUUUUUUAUCUUGGAGGAUUUUAUUUUAAAUUUACAAACAUUUUUUGAAAUGCAUGUAGCUUUUCUGAAUAAAAAAACAUUUUUAUAAAUCAGUCAUAUAUUUAUUAAAUUCAUGGACAUUGUUUUGGAAUUUGCAAAAAAAAUAAAUCCGGCGCUUUUUUUUAAUCCUAUAUUUAAUUCAAAAUAAAAAUUCGUCAGCAUUUUAAUUCAAAAUUCCUAUUUUUUAAUAUGCAAAAAGUUUUUGUAAUUCUAAAUUAUUUAACUUAUAAAUAAACAAAAAUGGAACGGAAAAUUUUUAAUAAAAAAGAAACUAUCAAAACAGGCAUUAGCUAUUUUUAAAAUUUUAGGACAUUUUUAAAUGCAUUAACAUAUUUUGAAUUAGAAAGCAUUUUGUUAAAUGCAUUUAAUAAUUUUUAAUACAUGGAAUUGUAUUUGAGAUCAUGGACUUUACUUAUUGUACAAAUAUAUUUUUUCUAAAAUUGCAAACAUUUUAUUGUAUAUGCGAGUAUUUUUUACAAAACUCCGAGCAGUUUUUGAAGUCACAAACAUUUUAAUUUUUUAAAUAUGUUGAUUUAUAUUUUUCAGUUUAUUAAAAUUAUAAAGAUUAUUUGAAGUUCUAAUUUAUUUAAAAUAAAAAAUAAAACGGAACUGAAAAUAAAUAAAUAAACGGAACUAAAAGUAGGCGCGUGUGCAUGGGCCGGGCCAUACGGUGUGCUGGAUAUUCUCCCAGCGUGCAGAGCGUAAUAUAGGAGGUUUUUAUAUGGACCGGCCCAAUCUAAGAUUUUUCGCUUUGUGAAACGUUUUCUAUUACUUACCGGUGGCAUGGUGGGUAAUUUAUACAAAAUUUAAGGGUAAUUCUAAGACGGACGACCAGAAACCGAAUUUGCUUUAUUAUUACUAGCACAAAUGUCCGUGCGUUGCAACGAUGGAAAGAGAAAAAAAAUAUCAUGUCAAUGACCUACUCCAGUAAUCGUGAAAAAACAGAAGAUGACAUUUUUUAGGGAAGGCCUAUAUGGCCUGGUUUAUUGAUAACUAACAGUGAUUACAUCUUCCACAAGAUAAGCAGUUAGGGCGGUCAUCGUCACAAGUACAACAAACAUUAUUAAGAUAAUUAUACUUACAGCUAGUUCAUGAGCCACAACAUUGGCCUCACGUAGACAAUGCAUGAAUUUGACCUUCCCUUUUAAAGACACACAAUCCAUGAUUUCUAUGUAUAUUGCGGCAGCUGGAAACACCGUUUGUCUCGCCCGAGCACAAAUUAACAACGUCGAGGCAAUCAGAUUCCGCCAUCACAUUAUGAAUACCCCGAGAAAAAAAUAAGCGAUAGUAUUUGUUGCAUCGGUAGCAUGUGAAGUUUGUCUAUGAAGAUACUGUAAAUACCAAGCGUCGACAGAGAUGACCAUUUGUAUGGUAAGUGACGGUAUACACUGGCUCUCAAGGGAUACAAAUAAAGUGCUCCAAAAUUGCAGAUCCUGAGCGAUUCAAGGCAGUUGCGUCCGAAAUCACAUGAGCUAGUCCGAGCGCAUUCCAAAGGGCAGUGGCUCGGCUGCAGGUAAACAAGAGAUACUUGACAUCUUCGACACCCUGAUUGCAUAUAGGACAAUGACCCAUUCUACCUACUUGGAAGUUAGUAAGAAUUGAUUUCUCCAGCACAAGAUCUGAACUUUGAGAGGUAUGGAUAGUUUCCAAAGACAAUGCCAAACUGGGAUAGUAGCUGAUGGACCUGAAGAUGAAACAUUGGAAUUCCGCCUAUAUCGACGAGUCAAUUCAACAUAGUAAGCAGUGCGAACCAAGAAAAUACCAGUCCUUCUAUGCAACAAUAACAUAAGCAAGGAGGAAGGUAGCUAAGUUUAUCAUGACACUCAACAAUAUUUCUUAACUGAAGACGAGCAAAUGCAUCAGGAAAGAGCAGUUACCACUGUGAUCUCUUCUGAAGGUUCAUCCUCAUCAACAAAAUCUGAAUUAUGCGCUUUCCCAUUUGCAAAGGCCAGAUCAUCAGAUGAAGCUGAGUCUACUGGUAUUCCCGGGUUCUGUGAACCUUUAUUGCCGUAUUCAAGUGGGGCGGCAUCAUGUUCAUUCUUGGAGCACUUAUCCUCUAGAACUGAUGGGCUGGCAACAUAGGACGUGUUAAUGCGGGACAAAAUUUUAUUCAUAAGAAUUGGCAUAAAGAUAAAUAGUUGCGAAGAAUAAAGCAUACCGGUUGUUCAAAGUAAUUUCCCCUCCAAUUACUGUCUGAAUAGUGUUCCUUUGGUACUUCCGUCUUGGCUCUACAAAAACUUCACUUGGAUCAUAUGAGAACGAAUAAUUCCUUUCUUUACUAACUUUUGCACCACCAACUUGAGGUAUUUCUCCAGCUUGGUCACCUAGCUCAUCAGCAAGUGAUCCAUUGAUGUCAGCAGUUUUCCGAAGGUUUUUUGGUACACAGUUCUGAAGAAGUUUACCAUUAUCAUGACAAGAACUCUUCUCAGGAGAGCGUUUGAAUAUCACCUGAGCGCAUUUUCGAACCCAAGAUACUGGUGUAGAGACUGAAGGCCAUCAGACUCUCACAUACUUCUAUGCAAUGUUGCUCCUCCUCUCAUGGCUGGUGGGGAGGGGAAGAAGACGGAGAGACUGAAAUCAGUGGGCUCGAGAAAACACAUACAUGUAAUUUGUCCAACAAAUUGACUGAAACAUGCAGCAAAAUACACCGUCAAUGGUUUUUUCCUUGCUUCACCUUAACCAACACGCAACACAAUACAUCGUCAUUGAAAUGAGAUUUCAACAAAGGAAGAACCCUACUUAGUAAGUUUAAGGGGUUUCAGCCCAACAUUGACUAAAACUAUUUUCGAGAAACUGGACAGUUGGACCUACACCGAGAUAGAACAAUAUACAAAGUAUUCCCUAGAGUAAACAUUGGCUCUAAAAUUGUCCAAAUGAAGCCGACAUGUCAAAGCCCUGAGAUAAACAUAUCCAAUAAAAAACUCCAUGCAUGAACAACUCUAUGAUCUAGCUGGGUGCGCAAAUAGGUGUUAAAAAAACUCACAGGAAUAAUCUUGGAGAGCAUAAGUACAUAUUUAGUCAAAUUAAAAGGCAAAGUCAGAGCAGGGAAUAGUUGAUCCGAAAGACCUGCCAUAUGAAUGCACAAACAUUCAUAUGAGUGUUCAGGAAGAAGAAGAAAAGCACAAAGAUGCCAUCUCCUAUAGCUAGCUAAUGUACCAUGAUAAACAUUAUACAUACUUUGGGGGAGAGAGUGGUGCCUCCGAUGACGAGGAAAGCAGCAGGGCAAGACCAACUGUCCCGGCAAGUCGAGUCAGGCAAACCGUCAAACGGCUGGGAGGUGGUCCUGACGGUCGUGGACUCGGAUGGGGGCAGCUGAAACCAGAAGCACACAUCCGGCCACCGCAGGGGGGAUGGGGAUUGGGCAGGUGGCGACCUGAUCGUGCAUGGAGUAGCGAACACCGCACUCGGUCCUCCCGCAGUCCCCGUCGACAGCCGUGUCGACGCACGUGCAGCCGCAGCCGCAGUGGUACUGAGGCUUGCCAAUGUUGCGGUUGAUGAGGCGCUGCAUCACCACCACCGACACAUAAAGGAGAGUAGGGCAUGGCCGGCACGGCCUCCUUGCGUCGCUCCUCGCUGCCCGCCCGACCCUGGGGUUCCACGAUGGUGGCGGCGCAGGAGAGACGGGCGGGGGCGACAGAUCUAAGAUAUGGCCGGAGUGGCACAACUUGGUGACGGGAGGGGCGCAGUCCACCGCUGCGCACUCAGCGAGGAUGGGCCGACCAACUGCCACGCGGGCUGAAAAGACCUCGAUGAUGCCUAGAGGGGGGGGUGAAUAGGCUAUUUAAAAACGUCUUCAGAUUUGGCUUGAACCUAAUGCGGAAAUAAACUAAGAGGGUACUUGUCAAGCACAAAUCCUAAAUGCACUAGGCACUGCAACGUGUAUCAACAACACGAUCUCCCAAGAUGGACACAAUACAGUUACUAACAAGCACAAGUAAGUUACACAAACUUACUUGAGCUAUAUCACACGACAAGUAGGUGAACAACAUAAGAUACUAAAUCACACUAUAUCAACACGAUAUAUCAAGGGUUGCAAGUAUGAACGUGUGGAUAUAGAGGGUAUGCUUGAAUGAUUAAUCUUGUACAAGAAAUAGCCAACACAAUAUAAUGAGCACAACCAAUAUGCAAUGUAUGUAUGCUCAAAUAACACAAGUAAACCACAAGUAAGGAGUUAGGGUUAAGGAUAACCAAGGUCACUGAGACGAAGAUGUAUCCCGAUGUUCACUUCUGUGACAUCCUCGACUUUUGCAACAGUAAUUAUUGUAAUUAAGCUACAGUGAUCAACCGCUAAUGAUGCCACGUCAUCGAAUUUCCAUCUCAGACCCGCGUUGAUUCAAGCCUAUCCGGAUUCAAAAUUUGAAAAACAAACAAAGAAAAGUACUUUAUAAGUUCAUUAUAAAUAUUAAAAGGAUAUGUAUAUGAAAGAGAGAAUUAAAAGUAUGUAUAAUAAAUUGUAAAAGAAAGUAUAAUAAAAGAAAGUAUUUAAAAAGAAAAAUCAGUUAGUAAAAUAAAUAGGAAAGAAAGAAAAAGAAACAAAGCAACAAAAUAAAAUUAAAAAAGGGACAACCCCCACCCCCUGGCCGAGCUGGACCAAAAGGCCCAACUGGCCAGCCCACUCCAAACCCUAGCGCCUCCCCCCCUGGCGAGGGACCCCUCUCGCUCCCUCCCCCCUGGGCGCCGCCAGCCUCCCCCUCGUGGGGGGCCCCACCCACCCAUGCUCUCUCUCUCCUGUAACCCUCCCCCACGAGAGCCCCCUCUCUCGGUCCUCUCCCCCACCCCACCGACACAUCUCUCCCUCCCACGACGCCAGAUCCCCCUCCUCUCCCACGUCGCCUCGCCCUCCUCUCCCGUAACUCCCGUCGCCCCCAGAUCCCUCCUCCCGGCCGGCGAGCCCCCACGGCCUCCUCCUCCCGCCGGCGCGCCCCCCUCACGGCCUCCUCCUCCCGCCGGCGGCCACCCCCUCACGGCCUCCUCCUCCCGCCGGCGGCCCCCCCUCACGGCCUCCUCCUCCCGCCGGCGGCCCCCCCCUCACGGGCCUCCUCCUCCCCCGGCGGCCCCUCCCCUCUCCCGGCCGGCGAGCCCCCCCUCCACCGCGCCGGCCAGCAGCACCACCCUCGGCCUCCACCCCGCCGGCCGAGGCCCCUUGUUCUCCCACCACGGCACCCCCCUGGAGACCGACCCCGGGAGCCCCGCCGGCCGAGCCCCUCCCCGUCGGCGGCUCCAUCCCGGGGGCCCUCCUCACCGGGGCCCCUCUCGGCGAACCUCCGGCCGGCUCCUCCUCGCCGGCACGCCCGUCUUCACCGGAACCGCGUCACCGUCGUCACCUUCACCUUCGUGCAAACUCCGGCUUCACCGGGCCGUCACGUCACCGUCGGUGAGCCCCUCCUCGGGCUCCUCCCACCUUGUCGUUCUCCUCGACGUCCCGGUUCCGUUCCGGCAAACGGGGCCUCGCUCCGUCGACGGUGGACUCCGGUAGGAGGAUUUGAGUGUUUGGUUCCUCUAGGUUGUGUUAGCAGAGAGAGUUCUCUGUCUCUUAACAGAGAGAGAGAUGAGUGUUGAGAGCUUUUGAGAGAAAAGAAAUAAAAUCAAAUGUUGUAUUCCGUAUGUAUGUAUGUAUGUAUUCGAUACCCGUAUUAUGUAUGUGUUUGCGUAUAUAGGCAUGUGGAGAGAUACGACAUUUGUAUGGUUAUUUAUUUGUGAUUAAAAUGUGUAAAUGGCCUAGGGUCACUUACCGGUGGGGCCAAUGCACCCGCUGUCUAUGACAGGGAGGCCCCACGCGAGAGUUAAUAUAAAUUAUAAAAAUAAUGUUUUUCUUAAAUAAAUAAAUAAAUAGAUAUAAUAAUUAAUUAAUGAGUUAAUGAAUUAGUUAAAUAAAUAUAUAAGUUAAUCUGUUAAUUAGAAUAAUUAAUUAACAUAAUUAGAGAAUGACACGCGGGUCCCUCACUAAAUUAAUCUGAUAAAUCAAUAUUUAAUCGAUAUUAAAACUUGUGCCUAUGACGUUCGGGACCCGCUGGUCAGUUGACCGGUCAAAUGUUGAUGUCAGCAUGACAUCGCGAUGAUGUCAUAAUAGGAUUUUAUUAAAUCUUUUAAAUCUGUUUUUAAUUCCUAAAUAAUUAAUAAAACUUUGAAAAUUAAUAUAAAAUAAUCCGUAAGUCAGAUCAAAAUAUUUUCAAUAUGAAAGUUGAUCAGCAAAGCGAGACGAACCCGGAUGCACGGUGUGUUCAUCUGUCACGCGUCCCUAGCAUAGCAAACAUGAAACUUUUCCAUCGUUUCCAGUAUAACCGGUAGUAGCCCGAGACCCGGAAAAUAUCAUCAGAUAUUCUUCCGACCCGUCUAUGACGGAUGUUGCUGCGUUAGCUCAUGUCUAGCCUGCAUCUUUUCAUGUCAUGCUUUGUGUUGCAUCGGUGCUAUUAUUUAUUGUUUCUUCCCCCUCUUCUUACCGGUAGACCCCGAGACUGACGCUGCUGCCGGGUACAUCUACGACCCUACCGAUCAGUUCUUUGCCGCAGAGCAGCAAGGCAAGCAAACUCCCCUUGAUCAUUCCUAUAUCGCCUAUGUCUUUCUUCCUACUGCUUGCAUUAGUAUUUUGCUACUGUUGUAGUUAGCUCCUAUAUCUGAUGCAUAGCCUGUUUUUGAUGAACUGCUACUUUCAGUCCUGUACCUUUAAUAUGCUUAGUAUAGGUGGAGCAGUCAUCCCCUCUGACCCCGUAGCUCAGUUGCCCCGCUUGUUGUCAAAUCUCGAUCUCUGAUCGACGAGCCAGACCCGACACAGCACAUCCACCCCCCUUCGUUGUACGACGCUAUAGGGAUACUAUCGGGUACCGAGGGUGACACCUCGCUAAGUACUCCUGAUGAUAUCUCUGUAGUAUAGCUAGUCGGUCAUGGUUAUCGAGGGUGAUUCCUCUUUCACCAUUCCCGAUGAUGCCUCUGUCGUACAACCCCUCAAGUGUGGGACCCCCGAGGGUGAUUCCUCUAAGUCCACCUUGACGGGUACAUCGUUCGGAAUCCAAUGAGGGUGAUACCUCGGAUUACCCCCGAUGUUACAACCACACAGUUACUCGACCAUGUUACUGGGAUCAUUGGUGAUUAGUUGUAAGACGGGUGGAUUCCCGCGAGACUGUGUUGCUGGCCUAAUUAAAAUGCUAAUGGAUUUGGGUAUUUGAUCUGGGUUGGUCGGAGACCUUUUCGCACUAACCGGCUACGCGGGAAGAAUUAUGGGUACUCGGCGUUGCGGUAUCAGCCGAAGCUUUUCAGAUGCCAGCAAUGUAGCGGCGCACGCCCGAGUGGUCCCGAGAUGCAUCGCGCUUGUGAUUAAGGGAUUCUAGGACUGACGUCGGCCGCCCACGCCACGUGCAGGAGCGUGAAGGGGAACUGGGCCCACGAACCCUUUGUGCUUAGGAUUUAGACCGGCGGGCUGGCCUCUCUGAUUAGUCUUAGGUGGGGCUGCGACGUGUCGAUAUUCCGAGGCCGGGCAGGACCCAGAAAAGUAUGUCCGGCCAGAGUGUUAUCGAGCGUGACGGGACAUGUGGUGCACCCCUGCAGGGAUGAAAAUUAACUAUUCGGAUAGCCGUGUCCACGGUUACAGGACGACUUGGAGUCGUGCCCCGAUCUUCUACAACUACAAUUGUUACUUAACUGGAAUUAGUUUGCCUCGGGAUUGCUUCCUCGCAGGGAGUCGAGGGAGGAUCUUUAGGCGUGACCUCACUUUAAUAUUGCUGCAACAAUAUGACUAUUAUGUGUUACCCCCUGUUCUACUCUCGUCUAUUGCUGCAAGACCCUGAAGAUGCUAGUCUUCGAUAGGACUAGGCCUUCUCUCUCUAUUCUCGCAUUGCUGCAGUCAGUCCACAUAUAACCCCCCCUUCUUUGAUACUGGUGCAUAAUUAGAAUAGUUCUGAUGUAAGACUUGCGAGUACUUUGGAUGAGUACUCACCGCUGCUUUGCUCCCCCUUGUUCCCUUGAUCCGUUUGCUGCGACCAGAUGAUGAAGCCCAGGAGAUGGAGGUCCCCGCCACCGACGACUGCUACCCCGACGGUGCCUACUACUACGUGGAGGCCGCUGAUGAUCAGGAGUAGUUAGGAGGUUCCCAGGCAGGAGGCCUCGCCUCGUUCGAUCGUUGUAUCUUUUGUGCUAGCCUUCUCUAAGGCACCCCAUGUUUUAUGUCUGUACUCAGAUAUUUGUUGCUUCCGCUGACUCGUGUGUUUAUCGAGCUUCCGUAUUCUAGCCCUCGAGGCCCCUGGCUUGUAAUAUGAAGCUGAUGUUAUUUUAUUUGUGUCGAGAGUUGUGUUGUGAUAUCUCCUCGUGAGUCCUUGGGUUUGAUCGUACGCAUUUGCGUGUAUGAUUAGCGUACGAUUAUGCCGAGGGCGUCACAACUUCCUUGGAGGGAAGCUAGUCACCGUUAGAGAGGUGGAUGUUACCAUGAAGGCACACCAACGCCACGAAGGCUCACCCUAUUCUCCCUUUGAGAUAACACCACGAAGGCGUUUCUCAACCACUAGUGGUAAGCCUUUGAGGUGGCUUCCAAACCCUCACAAACUUUUUCCGGGGGAAAUCACACGGAUUGAUUCCUCUCCGAAGAACUCCUACCGCCUAGGAGUCUCCAACCUCCAAGAGUAACAAGAUCACGGGGAAUGCUCAAAACUUGCUCAAAUCACAAAUAGCUUGGGUUGAGAGAAGGAGAGGGAGAAGAUCUAUCUUUUGAUUGGAACAACUCUCAAAGGGGCUCACAAAUGCUGUUGGGAUCUAAGAUUUGGAGUGAGCAAAUGUGUGUGAGGUGGAAAUGUGUUCUUAUGAGGAUAAGGCUGUGUUGGGCAACCCUCUCACGAAGUGGGAGGGGGUAUUUAUAGUGGGGAGAGAAAAAGAGCCGUUGGGGACACUUUAAGUCACACAGGGUCUGGACGUUCGACAGUAGUCGGAAGUCCGGGCGUCCGCGAGGGGUUGGACGUCCGACAGGGGUCGGUCGUCCGAGGCCAGUAGAUACGACUGAAACUAUUUUGAAUUAAACAACGACCGGACGUCCGACAGGGGUCGGUCGUACGAGGCUUGUAGAUACGGCUGAACAUAUUUGAAUUCAUCAGCAUACGGACGUCCGGAGUGGCCUGGAAGUCCGUGUUAUACAUCACAAGUUCUACUGGUGGUGGCUUCCGGAUUUCCGAUGGGUGUCGGACAUCCGGCGCUCGGACAUAUGGAGGGAGCCGGAUUUCCGAGAUAUAGUGCACACAUUCUACUAGUGUUGACCUCCGGAUUUCCGGAUCUUGGCCGGACGUCCGGAGGGAGCCGGAUUUCCGAGAUAUAGAACUCAACCUCUACUGGGGCAGACUUCCGGAUUUCCGGGUCUUGGCCGAACAUCCGGGCCUCGAACGUCCGGGGGGAGCCGGAAGUCCGAGUUAUAUGGCUCUGAUUUCUCUGGUAUAGGAUUCCGGAUUUCCGAACUAGUCGGUCCUCCGGUCCUCGGACGUCCGGAGAAAGCCGGAUGUCCGAGGCACUGGUUCUGUUUUCAUAAAACAACAAAACAGUGGAGAUGUGGUCUGAGCAGAAAGUGAUGAUGUAGUUUGAGCAAGUUCAUCGCAAAACCUAUGAUCCCCUCUUAAUAGUGCGGGAUCCGUAAGGACUCAAGAAUCAUAAAAGAGUACUGAGGAUCCAUACUUGAGUGUAUACUUUUAUUCACUGAUCAUCACUCCGCACAACUAACGUCAAAGGAACUGAUACCUUUGAGUUAGCCCCUUUCACCUGAGCUUGAUGUUGUUGUUCCUUCUUGGCUCAAGUUGAAAGCAAGACAUGAUGAAGUCUUCAAGUAGCUUUCCCAUACACAAUGCGGAAAGCCUAGCUUAUGUAUACAUCUUCAUUUGUCCACCAUGUGAACAUCCACAAGAAUCAAGCAUGUAGUGCUUAGGAAUGCUUAUCUUGAUCUUGUCCUUGUUAGCACAUGAGAUUGUCCUUAUCAGCACAUGAUCAUUGACAAUAGUUUCAAUGAUAUAUUCGUGAUGAUCCACUUGAACUUGCACACCACAAUCUUGAUGACGAUCACCACUUGACGUCAUCUUUCAUGGGUUGUAUGAGAUCUUCCUUUUGACGCAAGCCCAAUGAAAGCACACCUAAUCCCCACACAGGAGUCUCACAAAGACCAUGGGUUAGUACACAAACACGUAAUGGACAAUGCUUACCAUACCAUGGGAUCACUUCAUCCCUCUCGGUACAUCUUAUACGCUUUGUGUGUUGAUCAUCUUGAUUUACUCUUUGUCUGAGAUCUUGAUCAACCUAGUGUUCUAUGACCAUUCUUUGGAUAAUACCUUGAAUAAUAUCUUGGUCAUCGUAUAAACUCCUUGAACCCGACACAUGGACUUCAAGAAGUGCCUAUGGACAAAUCCUAUAAAUAUAACUUAAGGCAACCAUUAGUCCAUAGGAAUUGUCAUCAAUUACCAAAACCACAUAUGGAGAUAUAUGCUCUAACACGGGCCGCACGCGACAACGAGGGAAGGAGGAGAGGGGGGGGAGGUCGUUGCGCACGCGAGAUGCGCCGUCGCCCGAGUCUCCCUGGGGAGACGACCUGGGGGCAUGUGGUUUCGACUCCCGCUGGUUCAAUAUUAAAAAGUGCAGGGUCCUUUUUGUAAGAACGAAACAUUUUCUCAGUUCAGCCACUUAAAUUAGGACUGCGGGUUAAAUACCCAAAACAACAGGGAUUUUUUUGUAAAAAUGCCACGACGGACGACCAGAAACCCUAUUUGCUUUAUUAUUAGGAAGACUAGCAAAAUGGCCCGUGCGUUGCCACGGAAGAAAAAAAACA
rnacentral:lncRNA from 1 species